rnacentral:misc_RNA from 1 species
GAUGAAGAACGUAGCGAAAUGCGAUAAGUAAUGUGAAUUGCAGAAUUCAGUGAAUCAUCGAAUCUUUGAACGCACAUUGCGCCCCUUGGUAUUCCGGGGGGCAUGCCUGUUCGAGCGUCAUUUCAACCCUCAAGCUCAGCUUGGUAUUGAGUCCAUGUCAGUAAUGGCAGGCUCUAAAAUCAGUGGCGGCGCCGCUGGGUCCUGAACGUAGUAAUAUCUCUCGUUACAGGUUCUCGGUGUGCUUCUGCCAAAACCCAAAUUUUCUAUGGUUGACCUCGGAUCAGGUAGGGAUACCCGCUGAACUUAAGCAUAUCAUUAAGCGGAGGA